GGCAGGCACAACAAACAUGGCGGCGGCAGGAGGCGGGAGCGGCGCGGGGCGGUCGCGGAGACACCAACAAAUGGAACACAAAUUAACUUAAGCCUACACGGGGCUGGUGACACCUGAAGGAAGGGAAAGUGGAGAAGCUGUGCUCUGUGCUUUUAAUCUGGUGUGUUGGGAGUACGUUUUGGAGCAUGUUUGCCACUUAGCAGGGAAGUGAAAUUCAGGCACAAGGGGUUGUAAAAGUAAAGAGCCAAUAUGGGGGAGAAGAAGGCAGAACCACUGGACUUUGUGAAAGAUUUUCAGGAAUAUCUCACCCAGCAGACUCACCAUGUCAAUAUGAUUUCCGGAUCGGUUACUGGCGACAAGGAAGUGGAAACUCUCCAGGGAGCUGGGACAGAAGGUGAUCAGAAUGGUCUGGACCAUCCCUCUGUUGAAGUUUCACUGGAUGAAAACUCAGGAAUGUUGGUGGAUGGGUUCGAAAGGACGUUUGAUGGAAAGCUGAAGUGUCGAUACUGCAACUACGCCAGCAAAGGAACAGCUCGGCUCAUAGAACACAUCAGGAUUCACACAGGUAUGGAACGUUCUGCUGGGCUGGGCUGUGGGCUGUUAACUCAGCAUGGU